rnacentral:rRNA from 1 species
AGUCAACAUGCCCAGGGGACGUGGAUAACCUCGGGAAACUGAGGAUAAACCGCGAUAGGUCACUACUUCAGGAAUGGGUAAUGACUUAAACCUAUAUGGCCCCUGGAUUGGACUGCGGCCGAUCAGGCUGUUGGUGAGGUAAUGGCCCACCAAACCUGUAACCGGUACGGGCUCUGAGAGGAGGAGCCCGGAGAUGGGCACUGAGACAAGGGCCCAGGCCCUAUGGGGCGCAGCAGGCGCGAAACCUCUGCAAUAGGCGAAAGCCUGACAGGGUUACUCUGAGUGAUUUCCGUUAAGGAGAUCUUUUGGCACCUCUAAAAAUGGUGCAGAAUAAGGGGUGGGCAAGUCUGGUGUCAGCCGCCGCGGUAAUACCAGCACCCCGAGUGGUCGGGACGUUUAUUGGGCCUAAAGCAUCCGUAGCCGGUUCUACAAGUCUUCCGUUAAAUCCACCUGCUUAACAGAUGGGCUGCGGAAGAUACUAUGGAGCUAGGAGGCGGGAGAGGCAAGCGGUACUCGAUGGGUAGGGGUAAAAUCCGUUGAUCCAUUGAAGACCACCAGUGGCGAAGGCGGCUUGCCAGAACGCGCUCGACGGUGAGGGAUGAAAGCUGGGGGAGCAAACCGGAUUAGAUACCCGGGUAGUCCCAGCUGUAAACGAUGCAGACUCGGUGAUGAAUUGGCUUCAUGCCAAUUCAGUGCCGCAGGGAAGCCGUUAAGUUUGCCGCCUGGGGAGUACGGUCGCAAGACUGAAACUUAA